GACGAACGCUGGCGGCGUGCUUAACACAUGCAAGUCGAACGGAAAGGCCCUGCUUUUGUGGGGUUCUCGAGUGGCGAACGGGUGAGUAACACGUGAGUAACCUGCCCUUGACUUUGGGAUAACUUCAGGAAACUGGGGCUAAUACCGGAUAGGAGCUCCUGCUGCAUGGUGGGGGUUGGAAAGUUUCGGCGGUUGGGGAUGGACUCGCGGCUUAUCAGCUUGUUGGUGGGGUAGUGGCUUACCAAGGCUUUGACGGGUAGCCGGCCUGAGAGGGUGACCGGCCACAUUGGGACUGAGAUACGGCCCAGACUCCUACGGGAGGCAGCAGUGGGGAAUAUUGCACAAUGGGCGGAAGCCUGAUGCAGAAACGCCGCGUGCGGGAUGACGGCCUUCGGGUUGUAAACCGCUUUCGCCUGUGACGAAGCGUGAGUGACGGUAAUGGGUAAAGAAGCACCGGCUAACUACGUG
rnacentral:rRNA from 1 species